rnacentral:rRNA from 1 species
UACGUAGGUGGCGAGCGUUGUCCGGAUUUAUUGGGCGUAAAGCGCGCGCAGGCGGUGCGGUAAGUCCGUCGUGAAAUCUCCCGGCUCAACUGGGAGGGUGCGGUGGAGACUGCCGGACUGGAGGCACUCAGAGGCCGGUGGAAUUCCCGGUGUAGUGGUGAAAUGCGUAGAGAUCGGGAGGAACACCAGUGGCGAAGGCGGCGACCUGGACAAGCACUGACACUCAACUACGAAAGCGUGGGGAGCAAACAGG